UGGGUUAUAUUCUAAAGUAUGGAGUUUUUUCAUUAAGAACUCUUACAUAUGUCUCAUCUAGCACACUGGAUUUACAAUGUUAAUUUCUGUAGUCCUAUGUAUUAUAGUUUUUAUCUCUGUAGCCUUGUACAAUAUGAAUAAUGUUGAAGAGUCUUGAUAGGGCUUCUGCCUAGUCUUGUUCAAUUAACCACUGUCAAAUUGUCCAAAAACAAAUCCCUAUUUCAGAUUAAUUCUGAAUAUUUAGAUGGCUACACCAGCAGUUCUAGCAGUGUCAUUUUAGCUCACUUGUAUUUUUCUCCCACCCCCCACUGCCGUUUGUUUUACAUUCUGGAUAGGGGUUUUGCGCAAAAUUAGGAAAAUAACCCUGUACCAAAAUUUACAUCCUGAAAGCAAUAAAACUUAAUAGAAACCACAUUUGUGAUGGGCUGCUUGUUAACUGUAAUCUAUAGGAUCACUGCAAACAUAUUAUGUAACAGAUAUCUCAUUCUUAAUCAAUGCAGGUUGAGAAAGUUGGCUUCAGAGGCAGAGGAAGCGAAUAGAGGCAGAAAGGAGGGCUACGACUUAAGGGGAGAAUCUGAUACAUUCAAGGGUGAAUUGCAUUGGAAGAUAUAAUGUGUUUAAAGGAAAUUGCUUUAAAAAGGAAGAAACAUGGAAAUUUCAUUUUUGGUAAUAUUGCUCUGUGGAGAUCCCUGUGGAGCUAGAUUUAUUGUAAGAAGACCCUGGGAUGGGAUGAGACAGAGGCAAUUAGAAGAGCUAAUCAGCUGGAAUGCUGAGAACCAUUGCUUUGGAGGCCUCCCAUCCACGCGGCACCGUCAAAUGCACUUUGCUCAGCAAAGGACAGCUUGUUUGUUUUGGCCAUGCCUCAUGUGAGCAGAGAUAUGAAGAGCCAGGGAAUCUAACUGGAUAAAGAACAUCUACAAAUGAUGUUCUCUUAAUGUGUAUUCUAUCCAAAAAAGCCUUGAUGUUUGUCUCAACUCUGGGCUUAGCUGCACAGGCAGGUUCAUUCAGAAUUAACAUUGUUUCCUAUAAAUAAAGGGGGUCAAGAGUCUAUUUCAUGCUAACCCCAGCGUAAACUAUUUCUAAAAACAAAAAAAAAAAGAAAAAAUAUUGUCUGAUAUAUGUAAUUCCAUUAUGAAACUAAUUUUAAAAAUUGUUUAGAAGUUUAGUUAAGUUUUUUGUUGUUUGAAUCUUGCCUAUAUUUCUGUGUGUGUGUUUUCUAGGGUAAGAAGAUGGACUAAUUUUGCAAUCUAUCAAGAGAGUAUGAGAAAUAAAUUGCCUGCUGCCCCAUGUGACAUAGAGGCUAAAAAGUUAAAUAUAAAAUUUUGAAGAAUAUGCUAGGUGACUUUAGAGAGGUAAUGCGGUCAUAUUGCUGCAGAAGGAGAUAUUUGUUACCAGUUCUGUGAAUUAAGUUACAGUCUAGGACAAAAUAAUUUGCCUUUCAGUUUGAUAAUCUUUUUCUUAAGCAGAAGCAUCUUUUUAAUUAUUUACUGUCAUGAAUAGCUGGUUAUUACAGUUGUAUAAUUUCUUCAUUCUGCAUGAAUUUUCAUUCUGUACUCUGUUGUAAGGUGGAAUAGACACAAUCUUUAAGUUGUUUCCAGAGAGAAAAAUAGAUACAAUUUUAAGAACAUAGAGUUGGAGAAAAUUUGCUUUUGGGACAAAUUCACAUUUAAUUCAGUUGCUUGAAAGCAUAAGCUGAGUUUUCUGUCUUGUACAUGUGCUUUGCAUGGAGUUGAUAGCUGAUAUCAUGUCCAAGGAGAUAUUACUGUAAUACCUUUUAUGAAUCUUCUGUCUCAUAGAUUCAACUCUUGAUAGAGAUUUUGUUCUCUGCAGCCUUUUUCUAAGCUAAGAGAAAAAAUAAAUCUAUCACAGAAUGACCUAUGGUAUUUUAUAUUUAUGAUAGUCUUCAACAAGGUAAGCAAUAAGUUAACAGCCAGUACUUCACAGUCUAGAAACUGCAAACAUUUGUAUCUGUAUGUCCCUUUAUGUGAAUUUGCAUUUGUUUGGUAAAUUAAGAUAAUAUUAAAUUAAGAUUCUAAUUCUUAUGUAUUGUACUGCAAACUAUUUUCCUCUCAAAGCUGUUUAACAUUUAUACCAUUGUUGCAAAUUUAAUUUUACGAAUCACAGAGUUUUAGUAUGAAUUAUUACUUGUACAAUACACCACAAUAAACCAACCAAUUAAGCUUUCCUAA